rnacentral:rRNA from 1 species
UACAGAGGUCUCAAGCGUUGUUCGGAAUUACUGGGCGUAAAGGGCGCGUAGGCGGCCUUCUAAGUCAGACGUGAAAUCCCUCGGCUCAACCGAGGAACUGCGUCUGAUACUGGAAGGCUUGAAUCCGGGAGAGGGAUGUGGAAUUCCAGGUGUAGCGGUGAAAUGCGUAGAUAUCAGGAGGAACACCGGUGGCGAAGGCGGGUCUCUGGGCCGUAACUGGACGCUGAGGAGCGAAAGCGUGGGGAGCGAACAGGAUAGAAACCCUUGGUAGUCCA